rnacentral:rRNA from 1 species
AAUAGAUACCCAGGUAGUCCACGCCGUAAACGGUGAGUGCUAAGUGUUAGAGGGUUUCCGCCCUUUAGUGCUGAAGUUAACGCAUUAAGCACUCCGCCUGGGGAGUACGGCCGCAAGGCUGAAACUCAAAGGAAUUGACGGGGGCCCGCACAAGCGGUGGAGCAUGUGGUUUAAUUCGAAGCAACGCGAAGAACCUUACCAGGUCUUGACAUCCUCUGACAACCCUAGAGAUAGGGCUUCUCCUUCGGGAGCAGAGUGACAGGUGGUGCAUGGUUGUCGUCAGCUCGUGUCGUGAGAUGUUGGGUUAAGUCCCGCAACGAGCGCAACCCUUGAUCUUAGUUACCAUCAUUAAGUUGGGCACUCUAAGGUGACUGCCGGUGACAAACCGGAGGAAGGUGGGGAUGACGUCAAAUCAUCAUGCCCCUUAUGACCUGGGCUACACACGUGCUACAAUGGACGGUACAAAGAGCUGCAAGACCGCGAGGUGGAGCUAAUCUCAUAAAAACCGUUCUCAGUUCGGAUUGUAGGCUGCAACUCG